rnacentral:lncRNA from 1 species
AGUUGAGGAAAAGGGUGGGGCUAGCUGGAGUUUUUAAUCAAGACAGCAGUUAAUGGUAUUUUGGAAGUUUACAAAAUAUAACUGCUGAGGCUCCAGCCUUGUGAACUGAGACUAGUGGGUCAUUGUCCUCUCUGGGAUGAGAAAGCUACUGUGGGACCACUUCGAACUGCUGAGGAACCAUCCUCAAGGACAAAACAACUAUGGGACACUUAGCCUCUUAAGGGUACUGGAAGGGAAAAGUGGAAGAUGACACCAUGCUCCGAUGGACUGUCACCUCUUCUUCUGGGGACUGCUCUAGACAACUUGUCCGCUUGAAGGGUGUUUCUACAUUGCAAGACCACUUUGAGCCCUAAGGCUUGCCCCAGCCUUAGAGAAACUGUCUCUACUGUGCCCUCCCAACACCCUCAAGAUUCAGUCCUUUCUCUGGUGCAGGGUACUGUGUAAGCUUGAAUCUGACCCUUAUGGGGCCUUUUACUUUGUUUAUUUUUCUCUUAUAAAUUUAGUUUUAUGUGAAUUUAA